rnacentral:rRNA from 1 species
CUACGGGGCGCUCCAGUGGGGGAUAUUGCACAAUGGGCGAAAGCCUGAUGCAGCAACGCCGCGUGAAGGAAGACGGUUUUCGGAUCGUAAACUUCUAUCAGCAGGGAAGAAAAUGACUGUACCUGACUAAGAAGCCCCGGCUAACUACGUGCCAGCAGCCGCGGUAAUACGUAGGGGGCAAGCGUUAUCCGGAAUUACUGGGUGUAAAGGGUACGUAGGCGGCUGAUCAAGUCAGAUGUGAAAGCCCGGAGCUCAACUCCGGGACUGCAUUUGAAACUGGUCGGCUAGAGUGCAGGAGAGGAAAGUGGAAUUCCUAGUGUAGCGGUGAAAUGCGUAGAUAUUAGGAAGAACACCAGUGGCGAAGGCGGCUUUCUGGACUGUAACUGACGCUGAGGUACGAAAGCGUGGGGAGCGAACAGGAUUAGAUACCCGUGUAGUC